ACGGAAGGCAGCAGUGGGGAAUAUUGCACAAUGGGGGAAACCCUAAUGCAGCGACGCCGCGUGAGUGAAGAAGUAUUUCGGUAUGUAAAGCUCUAUCAGCAGGGAAGAAAAUGACGGUACCUGACUAAGAAGCCCCGGCUAACUACGUGCCAGCAGCCGCGGUAAUACGUAGGGGGCAAGCGUUAUCCGGAUUUACUGGGUGUAAAGGGAGCGUAGACGGCGAUGCAAGUCUGAUGUGAAAGCCCGGGGCUCAACCCCGGCACUGCAUUGGAAACUGUGUUGCUAGAGUGCAGGAGAGGUAAGUGGAAUUCCUAGUGUAGCGGUGAAAUGCGUAGAUAUUAGGAGGAACACCAGUGGCGAAGGCGGCUUACUGGACUGUAACUGACGUUGAGGCUCGAAAGCGUGGGGAGCAAACAGGAUUAGAUACCCUGGUA
rnacentral:rRNA from 1 species